rnacentral:rRNA from 1 species
UACGGGGGGGCAAGCGUUGUUCGGAAUUACUGGGCGUAAAGGGCUCGUAGGCGCCAACUAAGUCGGACGUGAAAUCCCUCGGCUUAACCGGGGAACUGCGUCCGAUACUGGAUGGCUUGAGUUUGGGAGAGGGAUGCGGAAUUCCAGGUGUAGCGGUGAAAUGGCGUAGAUAUCUGGAGGAACACCGGUGGCGAAGGCGGCAUCCUGGACCAAUACUGACGCUGAGGAGCGAAAGCCAGGGAGCAAAG